rnacentral:tRNA from 1 species
GGAUAUAGCUCAGUUGAUAGAGUACUUGCCUUGUAUACAUAAGGUCCUGGGUUCCAUCCCCAGCACCA